rnacentral:tRNA from 1 species
GCAGGCAUAGCUCAAUUGGAUAGAGCACCUGACUACGGAUCAGGAGGUUGGGGGUUCGAGUCCUCCUGCCUGCA